rnacentral:misc_RNA from 1 species
CUUGAGAAACUUAGUGACAUACAUUGCACCCCUGAAUCUCAGCUCAAGUUCAUUACAGAUGCAUGGCUUCAGGUAGUUGAAUGCAGGCGAGUUCUAAAAUGGACCUAUGCAUAUGGAUAUUAUCUACCUGAGCAUGAACUUGCUAAGAGACAGUUUUUUGAGUACUUGCAAGGUGAGGCUGAGUCUGGCUUGGAAAGGCUUCAUCAAUGCGCAGAGAAGGAACUACAACAGUUCCUCAAUGCGGAAGGUCCCUCAAAGGAAUUUGAUGAGUUUCGAACAAAGUUGGCUGGGCUCACCAGUGUUACAAAAAAUUACUUCGAGAAUUUGGUUAGAGCAUUGGAGAAUGGUCUAGCAGAUGUGGAUUCUCAUGGUGCUUGUAGCAAAACAACUAGCUCCAAAAAUACAGUUGGUGUUGGCAAGGGGAGAGGUGGAAGAGGAAAAGGAAGCACUAAAUCUGGUGAUUCCAUCAGAAUUAUGGAUGAUUAAUAUAACUAUUCCAGGUCCAAGUUAGCCAGCAAUGUGCCAGGUAUGCUGCCACAACGGUUAGAACUUGUAAAUCCUUUGGUUGGUGGGAGCUACUUGGUACACAUGCUUCUCCAAGAUUCUGGAGGACUUAAUUGUGUUUAUUGUCUGGUGGCUCAUCUUUUUGUGAUGCUGCUCAAUGUGUGAAUGGUAA